GGUAACGAGGAGCUAAGUUCAAAAUCAGGUGUUGGCUGGCUCGGGAGGCAGAGGGUAGGCAAGAAGAUGGCCCCGAAGGUUGCAAAUGGAAACAAAACAAGUCUGAACUCCAGCCACGUGC